rnacentral:tRNA from 1 species
AGCCUCUUAGCCAAGCCGGUAAGGCAACGGCCUUUGAAGCCGCGACCCCAGGUUCGAGCCCUGGAGAGGCAGCCA